rnacentral:rRNA from 1 species
UAGGGAAUCUUCGGCAAUGGACGGAAGUCUGACCGAGCAACGCCGCGUGAGUGAAGAAGGUUUUCGGAUCGUAAAGCUCUGUUGUAAGAGAAGAACGAGUGUGAGAGUGGAAAGUUCACACUGUGACGGUAUCUUACCAGAAAGGGACGGCUAACUACGUGCCAGCAGCCGCGGUAAUACGUAGGUCCCGAGCGUUGUCCGGAUUUAUUGGGCGUAAAGCGAGCGCAGGCGGUUAGAUAAGUCUGAAGUUAAAGGCUGUGGCUUAACCAUAGUACGCUUUGGAAACUGUUUAACUUGAGUGCAAGAGGGGAGAGUGGAAUUCCAUGUGUAGCGGUGAAAUGCGUAGAUAUAUGGAGGAACACCGGUGGCGAAAGCGGCUCUCUGGCUUGUAACUGACGCUGAGGCUCGAAAGCGUGGGGAGCAAACAGGAUUAGAUACCCUGGUAGUCCACGCCGUAACGAUGGGUGCUAGGUGUUAGACCCUUUCCGGGGUUUAGUGUCGCAGCUAACGCAUUAAGCACUCCGCCUGGGGAGUACGACCGCAAGGUUG